rnacentral:rRNA from 1 species
GAUGAACGCUGGCGGCGUGCCUAAUACAUGCAAGUCGAACGAACUCUGGUAUUGAUUGGUGCUUGCAUCAUGAUUUACAUUUGAGUGAGUGGCGAACUGGUGAGUAACACGUGGGAAACCUGCCCAGAAGCGGGGGAUAACACCUGGAAACAGAUGCCAAUACCGCAUAACAACUUGGACCGCAUGGUCCGAGCUUGAAAGAUGGCUUCGGCUAUCACUUUUGGAUGGUCCCACGGCGUAUUAGCUAGAUGGUGGGGUAAUGGCUCACCAUGGCGAAGAGACGUAGCCCACCUGAGAGGGUAAUCGGCCACAUUGGGACUGAGACGCGGCCCAAACUCCUACGGGAGGCAACAGUAGGGAAUCUUCCACAAUGGACGAAAGUAUGAUGGAGCAACGCCGCGUGAGUGAAGAAGGGUUUCGGCUCGUAAAACUCUGUUGUUAAAGAAGAACAUAUCUGAGAGUAACUGUUCAGGUAUUGACGGUAUUUAACCAGAAAGCCACGGCUAACUACGUGCCAGCCGCCGCUGUAA